CGUUCGUUGUGUCUUAUGUUGCACGAAAAAAGCAGAAAGCGCCCCCCAAGGAGCCUCAUUAGCUGCUCAGCAGGAUGUUUCAGAGGAGGAGAAGUUUCACAUUUGGAGCGUAUGGAGGGACUGACAAGAGCAUCUCCAAGACCAGAACCUCCUUCUGGAAGCAAGAUGGAAGAAUCCCUUGCAUCCCCGAUGAAGUAAAGCGCUCACUCCGACAUUCCGGUGGACUACUUCCUCUUCCCUUGAUCUCACAGAGCUCGGACCUGCUUGCCAUGAUCGACAGGAUGCAGGGCUACAGAAUGGAUGAGCAGAGGUGCCCCCUUCCUCCGCCCCUCAAAACAGAGGAGGACUACAUCCCUUAUCCCAGUGUUCAUGAGGUUCUUGGUCGCCAUAGUCCGUUCCCGCUCAUCCUGCUGCCCCAGUUUGGAGGCUACUGGAUAGAGGGAACCAAUCACGAGCCUAGAGAGACACAGGAGGAGGAGCAACUUCCAUGCCCCGCCUCUUACGUCAAGCUAGAGACCAACAGCACGGCCAAGAUCUACAGGAAACAGUUCAUGGGCAAGGAGCACUUUAAUUACUACACCAUGGACGCCGCCCUCGGCCACUUGGUCUUCUCAUUAAAGUAUGAUGUCAUCGGGGAUCAGGAGCAUCUGCGCUUGAUGCUGCGCACCAAGCUAAAAACCUAUCACGACGUCAUCCCCAUCUCCUGCCUCACAGAGUUCCCCAACGUGGUCCAGAUGGCCAAGCUUGUGUGUGAAGAUGUCAACGUGGAUCGCUUCUAUCCAGUCCUCUACCCAAAGGCAUCACGCCUAAUUGUCACCUUUGACGAGCAUGUCAUCAGCAACAACUUCAAAUUUGGUGUCGUUUAUCAAAAGUUUGGCCAAACCACGGAGGAGGAACUCUUUGGGAACAUGGAAGAAAGUCCGGCUUUUGUGGAGUUCUUGGAGUUUCUGGGCCAGAAGAUUGAGCUGCAUGACUUUAAAGGGUUCCGGGGAGGCCUCGACGUCACUCAUGGGCAAACGGGGACAGAGUCAGUUUACACCCAUUUCCACAGCAAGGAGAUUAUGUUCCAUGUGUCCACCAAGCUGCCUUACACGGAGGGAGACUCCCAGCAGCUGCAGAGAAAACGGCACAUAGGCAACGACAUCCUAGCCAUCGUGUUCCAGGAGGAAAACACGCCGUUCGUUCCCGACAUGAUCCAGUCCAACUUCUUGCACGCCUACGUGGUGGUGCAGGUGGAGAACGCAUGCACAGACAAUGUCACUUAUAAGGUGUCUGUGACAGCCAGGGAUGACGUGCCCUUCUUUGGGCCGGCCCUGCCUGACCCGGCCAUCUUCAAAAAGGGCCCUGAGCUUCGCGAGUUCCUGUUCACCAAGCUCAUCAAUGCCGAGUACGCUUGCUACAAGGCGGAGAAGUUUGCCAAGCUGGAGGAGCGCACACGUUCAGCCCUGUUGGAGACCUUGUAUGAGGAGCUCCACAUCAACAGUCAGUCCAUGAUGGGUUUGGGCGGAGAUGAAGACAAGCUGGAGAACGGCGGCGGCAGCGGUGGAGGAGGCGGAGGCUUCUUUGAGUCCUUUAAGCGGGUCAUCCGCAGCAGAAGCCAAUCAAUGGACGCCAUGGGCCUCAGUAACAAGAAGUCACACACAGUCUCCACUAGUCACAGUGGCAGCUUUACCCACAAUCUGGCCGAGAGCCCCAAAACACCCGGCAUUUCAUUGCUUGUCCCAGGGAAAAGUCCCAGUAAAUACGGACGGCGAGGCAGUGCCAUAGGGAUAGGAACAAUAGAAGAGUCACUCAUCAUUCCUGGGAAGAGCCCCACCAGAAAGAAGAGCGGUCCCUUCAGCUCGCGCCGCAGCAGCGCUAUCGGCAUCGAGAACAUCCAGGAAGUCCAAGAGAGGAGCCACGAGGUGUCACCUUGCACCCACAGGACGUCCGACAGCGGCCUCCUCGCACAGGAAAAUAAGUCUGACAACUCUUCCAGUCAUAGCUCUCCAGAGUUUCCUGCUGCCAAGAACAGUUUGGUCAUGUGUUGCAGGGCACCAUCCAUCCCCGAGGCUCAGGACCUUUCCCGUUCCUCUUCAAACGCCAGCAGCUUUGCCAGUGUCGUGGAGGAGCACGAGGCCGAGGAGGAGUACGACACUGGACUGGAAAGUGUGUCCGCCAUGACGCCAAGACACUCAUUGGAUGACGGAGCGCUCACUACGAGUCAUGGAGGCCUUCCAGCCACUCGCCUCCAGCAUCAAACCGAUGUUCUGAAGGGACCCGGGUCUAAAGCCACAGAUGGCUGCCCCAAGUCAGAGCGCCCCCCUCUGGAGCACAAGUUAUCAAACUGUUAGCUACACGCAACUGACUCGCCGCAUUGAUGUCCAUUAUCAGCAUUUCUUCGAGAGGCACCACAUGUCAGAACCAAGCGACAGGUUGUGUUGCUUCCUUAACUGACAGAGGUCAACUUGGAAUCCUCGAAACGUUCGGCUCAGAAUCCGCCUGACUGUCCUGACAGACGCCAACAAAAGCUCCGAUGACCUGCCUUGAGUCCGGCUCUCAAAGUCCUCCUUUAAAGGUCACGCAGCAUCAUUACUGUUUGUCAUGUGGUUUGACAGAUUAAGUCUGCUUGGCCUAUCCUGACCAGUGAGCAACCAUCUUAGUUAGAUUUUUUUGGGAUGGAAAGGAAGCAAGAGCAAUGGAACAAAAGUCAACGGAGAUCUCGUGUCUUAUUGUCACCGUUCACAUUUGACCUAAAGUGAACCAGACCAAUCCACUUGCGAGAGGACCAAGACCCAUCGUUCAUGCGGCCUCGGCCCGCUUGUCUGUUGCACGGCAGGGCUCAGAGGAUGGCUUUCACAUUUGACCAAAUGAACCGUAAUAGCAGGACUAAAGCACCAGAGUAUGUUUUAAGUUUUAAUUGAAGCAAACAUGACAAGUGUGAACGCACCCUGAGUCAGUGAUGAAAUGAAGCAGGCACACGUGGUUUAUAGUUGGGUUGAAAAAAGGCUGUAGAGAAAGACUGAUAAAUGAUUCAGAUCGAACUCUAAAAUCCUGCAAUUUGACUUGAAACGAAAAGCAUAGAUUGCUUGCGCCCCCUAGUGGCUCAUCACAAUAGCACCUCCAUGUGUCUGGCCCAACUGUUCAAAUCCAAAGUAGACCAGUUUGGACUGAAAUUUUCUCUGUGAUCUGUUGUAAAUGAUUGUAUUUCUCUUCUUGUCUGUUCAGUCUACUGAAGCCCUUGUAAAAAAAAAAAAAAAAAAAAAAGACUUGGUUGUACAUAUUGCUUUACAUCCAUAUUGUAAAUAAAGAUGUUUAACAAAGGUGACAUUUAGAAGGCUGGUGGAGGCUUUUACCUCAUACACUUCAGUUCACAUGUCCAGGUUCCACCACUUGAAGUCAAAGGGUUCCCUACGCACGUUGGAGCCGCAGUGGACCUCUCCCAGCAGCCGGUGGUAGGAGGCGAAGUCGUCGAUGAAGGUGCAGCUGAGGUCCAGCUCCUCCAUCAGGGAGCUCAUCUCCGCCUCCAGGGCGCAGCGGCCGUUCACCUUCGGGCCGAACGGCUUGGGAAUGCCGAGGUUUUUGCCCAGGACGAUCAAGUUCACCUGGAAACGUAAGCGAUUGGAAACUUUAAGCGUCUUGUGGCCGUUAAACACUGUCUUGUGCUGGCUGUGUGACAUGAAAUCGUUUAGUGUUGAGUCUUCACUGUCAGGGGACGUCGGAACCAAAACGGUAAUGGCCGCCCAUGUGCUACUGUUAUUCAAGAGCGUGAUUCUCCCAUCCCAAUAGAAAAACACUGGUAUAAAAAGAAAAUAACAAUGAAAUGUAAACAUAUCCCUAAUUUAAAUGGAUGCAUAUUACAUUGUUAGGUAAUAUAAAGUAGAUCCAUGCCAAGUUGCGGUUCAUUCAAAUAGUAAAUAAUUGUUUUUAAAUUGUAACUUACAGUAAAUAGAAAGUGGUUGGAUGGUGCUUCUUCAAUCUUCAAGGGAAAAACUAUGAAUCCAGCAGAGGGUGCUGUCUCACAAGUCGAUCCACUCAACAUUUUCCAGCAAGAGGAUGCUUUGACAAGAUGUUGUGUAACUGCACGCAAGUACAACACUAUACUAUAUUCCUGUAGUUGUUUCUUAAUGUGUAAAAGUGUAUUUAAAAAUGUGCUUAAAGGGAUAGUUCGGACUUUUUGACAUGAAGUUGUAUGACAUCUCUAUCAGCAGUGUAGUCCACCAACAGCAACUCACUCCCCACUUGGUCUCCUAAGUCCAGUUCUGGUCGGAUUUCGGUGAUAAAGAACGUAGUUCCAGGUAGUUGCUGGAGUUUGUCUUCUCAAAACAAUAGGCGUUCAAAAGAGAUAAUACAUCUGCAUCGCAAAAAUGCCUACUGUAUGCUGGAGACUAUCACAGCUGACUGAUUUCCGUGAACAAGUAUGUGAUCUGCAUAUGUUAAUCAAUGCCUUUCAACAGCGAUUACAAAAACCGAUCACCUGUGGAACAUAAUUUGCCCCAGUGGUGUUAUGCACAGCUGUUCUCGAUCUCAAUUAGUGGAGUUUAAAAGCCCAGCGUCGUCGCAGCUACAGCGCUGGUUCAUUGCCUUUGUGUACUUCGCCUGUGCUGUCUCCUAGACGGUUCCUUGACCUGUUGCUACUGCCUCGUCUUCCGUGUAUGUUUUUCACGGAGCCCUUUUCCUCUGUCGCUUUCUGUUGUUUUUCCUGCACCUGAUUUAUUCAAGUAUUUUUAUUUUCCACCACUACCGUCUGUCUCUGCAUACUGGGGGUCAAACACUCGACAGCUCCACAGUUGCUGACAAUACCCUGAUCAGAGCACCCCUAUUAACAACAGUACGGCGAGUAAAACAUGCGUGAGUUUUACACCAACAGCUGAGUAGUAGAAACCAACAUUUUAAAGUGUAUGCAAAGGUAGAUAUAUCUGCUGGACCACUCAUAACGCUUCAAAUGCAUCUCCUGCCAUCUUGUGGAAUUCAUUAAAACAACAUUAGGAUUGAAUGGACAGGUUAACUGGAGCAUUUACGAUAACAUUAGUUACUAUUAUAAAAACAAGCCCUCCCCUCUAAUAAACUACUAACAUACCAUGUCGGGGUAGAAUGCCACAGCUCUGUAUUCAUUAUCUUCGUCCUGCUGUAGCUUAAAGAGGAUGGGCAGGUCGAUGAUGUCGGAGUCAUCAAGGCCCAGCUCUCGUUUCAGUACGUCUCGGUUCCAGUCGAUGCAGCUCUAGAAAACACGCAAAUCAUGUAUUGGUGUACAUACUAAAGAGUAGGGGUGUCACGAGACGAGACAAUACGCGAGAUUGGGUCUACGAGAAUGAGAUGAGACGAGAUUUUAACAUUACUUUUAAAAAAAGUACAAUGAAAAAAAUGUAAAAACAAUAUGACAAUGUACUGCAAUCUACUAAUUUAAUUUCUACUACAGUACAGGCCAAAAGUUUGGACACACCUCAUUCAAUGUGUUUUCUUUAUUUUCAUGACUAUUUACAUUGUAGAUUCUCAGAACUAUGAAUGAACACAUGUGGAAUUAUGUACUUCACAAAAAAGUGUGAAAUAAUCCUCUAAGUAGCCACCCUUUGCUUUUUUGAUAGCGCUGCAAACCCUUGGUGUUCUUCAUGAGGUUCUUGCUGAGCUUCAUGAGGUAGUCACCUGAAAUGGUUUUCACUUCACAGGCGUGCCUUGGCAGGCUUACUUAAUGGAAUUUGUUGCCUUAUUAUUAGGUUUGGGACUAUCAGUUGUGUAGUGUGUGUCCAAACUUUUAGCCUGUACUGUACGUUACACUGUUCUGCACUCUGUGUGUAUGCUUCUGGCCCUUCCGCCACCCACCGAGACAAAGAGACAGUAUGACCAACAAAAGGGCUCACUCCAUUCGUGCCGUUGUUCUAUGAUCAAACGCACCAAGGUGCUGAAACCAAUGCACAGAGUGAACCAUAUUUCUGCCUGUUUGGCGGAGAGAGAUGAGGAAAACAGACACGCAUGCACAUGGCAAUGUAUUGAGGGUGGCAAUAUUUUUUUCUGAAAGAGAAAUCUUGUCAUGUUUUAAUCUCACGAGAUCUUGCGACACCCCUACUAAAGAGCGAAAGGCUGUUAGCGUUUUAAUUGUGUGGUUACAUAGGUUGGAGCUGACCCCUUAACACACUGAGUAUAGUUUGUAGUAUAUUUUGAUUAUAGUGGCCUCACCUGAACAUAGUUGUUCUCAGCUUGGAAGCCUGCAUCUUCAAGUAUGUCGUCCACUGUGAUUGGAACCUGGUCUCUGCAACCUUUGAGGAAGUAUCCCUCAGAUAAGUGUCCGGAUGUACAGGUAUAUGAUGACGAAAUAAUAAACGUAAAGACCUACCCUCAAAGAGUUUGGCCUGGCCAUGACCAUUGUUUUUCAAACCUCUGAAGAGCUUGUAGCCUGCAUCUGGACUGGCCAGCAGCAGACGAAAGCCCUGCCAAUGAGACAAUGUAUAAUAAGAUGGUCACUGGGAGUUUGCACCGUGGCAUCAGUAUUGUCAGAAACAGCUUCCUAAAG